GGAAAUAGCUCAGUGGUAGAACACAUGCUUAGCAUGCACGAGGUCCUGGGUUCAAUCCUCAGUAAAUCCA
rnacentral:tRNA from 1 species